UGGCGGCUCAAACGCUCAAAAGUUUGGUUAUACUUUACGAGAACGGAUGACAACAGAGCAACUUGCAAUACUUGCAAAGUAGAUAUUUCAUUUAAGGGAGGAAACACUACGAAUAUGCAAAAGCAUUUGCUCACAAAACACGCGAUGACCUUAAAUGAAUGUCGUGUUUUUAAUUCCGCUCCGGACUCGUGAAUCUCAACCCAGCAGCAGCGGUAACGUUUGCACGUCCUCUCCCGUUAAUGCGGCAGGUGACCAUGAUGAGACAGACAGAGUCUGGCUGGCUCAGAUGCUGGCAGUUCUCGCUGCAGUCUACCGGUAGCGUCUCCUUUCAGGCCAGGAUAGACGAAUGUCACCGAGCAGUGACUUAGUUUGUGGUAAAAGGCUUGCACCCAUUUGCCACAGCAGAUGCCCCCGAUAUUCGUGAAAGAGAGCGAGACCUGCAGCUUGUCAGAGAUUACAAGCCUCACAAAGAUGUCCAACACCUCAGAAUUAUUCUUUAUGGACCACCAGGUGCUGGAAAGUCCAGCUUCAUCAACUCUGUCGACAGUGCUUUAAGAGGCAAAAUCGCAACUCCAGCUUUGGCAGCAGCAACCUCUGGUGACAGUUUCACUAAUGCAUUCAGGACAUAUAAAAUUCAGAAAGGAGAGCCAGGAACUUUUUACCCUUUUGUCUUCUCUGACUCCAUGGGCCUUGAAAGGGGCGCUGAGAGAGGAAUUCACGUGGAAGACAUCAAACUUGCCAUUAGUGGACGUGUAAAAGAAGGUUACAGGAUGCAAACAGUGAACGUGAUCCUGGGUAUUCCACUGAACUGCAUCUUCCUCGUGAAGAACUACCACAAAGAAAUCAAGACAGAUAACAACGUGGAUUCACUGAUACUGAGUGCACUGAAAAAAAUCAUUGACUAUGGAGAGGACUACCUGAAUGAUUUAUAAUCCUGAGCUGUCACCAAUGUGUGAGGGGGAUAGAAAAUGAAAAUUUUCAGUCACUCUUUGGCUGAUUUUGCUUUGCCAUCAUUACAAUCACAGUCACACAAAAAGUUUAUUUCAUCAGAAACUUUAUCGUACUGAUUUUUGUCUUGUUCUUAUUUUAUUUCACUUUUUUCUUUCACAAAUUAAAUUGAUAUAAUCUUCAAACAAUAUCAAUACAUGUACUUUUUACGAUUUACUGUAUAUUCAAAAUGUUAACUUCAGGAAGAAUGACACAUAUAUGCCUGUAACCUGUUGUC